CACGUUAUCAUUCUUGUUAGUUCUAAGUGAAUUCCCUCGGUAUGAUAAUUUGUUCAUCAGUUUGUUCCCCGUUUCUUCUCUAGCCUGAGCCUGACACACUAUUCUAGCUAGACAUGGGUGUGGCUCGUAACACCUGAUGACCAAACGGAUCUACGACACCAUCGAAUCUCAAACUUUAACUACCAAAACUAUUGUUUUUCAUCCUCUAGUCCCUUUUAGAAUUACUAAACGUCCUUUUUUGGGCCGAGAUUUCCAGGAACGCUUUCUCGGGGUUUGUGUGCAUGUAUUUCAAACCAUACAGACCUAAAAAUUAGAAGUCAUUCCAUCUUUAUUCCCGUAGAGCCUUCCAGCAGUUCCUAAACCGCUCCAGUCGGAGCAUGUUAUCAUUCUUGUUUGUUCUGAGUGAAUUCCCUCGGUAUGAUAAUUCUAUCAUCAGUUUGUUCCCCGUUUCUUCUCUAGCCUGAGCCUGGCAAACUAUUCNNNNNNNNNNNNNNNNNNNNNNNNNNNNNNNNNNNNNNNNNNNNNNNNNNNNNNNNNNNNNNNNNNNNNNNNNNNNNNNNNNNNNNNNNNNNNNNNNNNNNNNNNNNNNNNNNNNNNNNNNNNNNNNNNNNNNNNNCUAAACCGCUCUAGUCGGAGCACGUUAUCAUUCUUGUUAGUUCUGAGUGAAUUCCCUCGGUAUGAUAAUUCUUUCAUCAGUUUGUUCCCUGUUUCUUCUCUAGCCUGAGCCUGACACACUAUUCUAGCUAGACAUGGGUGUGGCUCGUAACACCUAAUGACCAAACGGAUCGACGGCACCAUCGAAUCUCAAACUUUAACUGCCAAAACUAUUGUUUUUCAUCCUGUUGUCCCAUUUAGAAUUACUAAACGUCCUUUUUUGGGCCGAGAUUUAGAGGAACGCUUUCUCGGGGUUUGUGUGCAAGUAUUUCAAACCAUACGGACCUAAAAAUUAGAAGUCAUUCCAUCUUUAUUCCCCUAGAGCCUUCCAGCAGUUCCUAAACCGCUCAAGUCAGAGCAUGUUAUCAUUCUUGUUAGUUCUGAGUGAAUUCCCUCGGUAUGAUAAUUCUUUCAUCAGUUUGUUCCCUGUUUCUUCUCUAGCCUGAGCCUGACACACUAUUCUAGCUAGACAUGGGUGUGGCUCGUAACACCUGAUGACCAAACGGAUCUACGACACCAUUGAAUCUCAAACUUUAACUACCAAAACUAUUAUUUUUCAUCCUGUAGUCCCUUUUAGAAUUACUAAACGUCCUUUUUUGGGCCGAGAUUUCCAAGAACGCUUUCUCGUGGUUUGUGUGCAAGUAUUUCAAACCAUACAGACCUAAAAAUUAGAAGUCAUUCCAUCUUUAUGCCCGUAGAGCCUUCCAGCAGUUCCUAAACCGCUCCAGUCGGAGCACGUUAUCAUUCUUAUUAGUUCUGAGUGAAUUCCCUCAGUAUGAUAAUUCUUUCAUAAGUUUGUUCCCCAUUUCUUCUCUAGCCUGAGCCUGGCACACUAUUCUAGCUAGACAUGGGUGUGGCUCAUAACACUUGUUGACUAAAUGGAUCGACGGCACCAUCGAAUCUCAAACUUUAACUGCCAAAACUAUUGUUUUUCAUCCUGUAGUCCCAUUUAGAAUUAUUAAACGUCCUUUUUUGGGCCGAUAUUUAGAGUAAUGCUUUCUCGGGGUUUGUCUGCAAGUAUUUCAAACCAUACGGACCUAAAAAUUAGAAGUCAUUCCAUCUUUAUUCCCCUAGAGCCUUCCAGCAGUUCCUAAACCGCUCUAGUCGGAGCACGUUAUCAUUCUUGUUAGUUCUGAGUGAAUUCCCUCAGUAUGAUAAUUCUUUCAUCUGUUUGUUCCCCGUUUCUUCUCUAGCCUGAGCCUGACACACUAUUCAAGCUAGACAUGGAUGUGGCUCGUAACACCUGAUGACCAAACGGAUCUACGGCACCAUCGAAUCCCAAACUUUAACUGCCAAAACUAUUGUUUUUCAUCCUGUAGUCCCUUUUAGAAUUACUAAACGUCCUUUUUUGGGCCGAGAUUUCCAGGAAUGCUUUCUCGGGGUUUGUGUGCAAGUAUUUCAAACCAUACAAAGCUAGAAAUUAGAAGUCAUUCCAUCUUUAUUAUCGUAGAGCCUUCCAGCAGUUCCUAAACCGGUCUAGUCGGAGCACGUUAUCAUUCUAGUUAGUUCUGAGUGAAUUCCCUCGGUAUGAUAAUUCUUUCAUCAGUUUGUUCCCCGUUUCUUCUCUAGCCUGAGCCUGACAAACUAUUCUAGCUAGACAUGCGUGUGGCUCGUAACACCUGAUGACCAAACGGAUCUAUAGCACCAUCGAAUCUCAAACUUUAACUGCCAAAACUAUUGUUUUCAUCCUGUAGUCCCUUUUAGAAUUACUAAACUUCCUUUUUUGGGCCGAGAUUUAGAGGAACGCUUUCUGGGGUUUGUGUGCAAGUAUUUCAAACCAUACAGACCUAAAAAUUAGAAGUCAUUCCAUCUUUAUUCCCCUAGAGCCUUCCAGCAGUUCCUAAACCGCUCUAGUCGGAGCACGUUAUCAUUAUUGUUAGUUCUGAGUGAAUUCCCUCGGUAUGAUAAUUCUUUCAUCAGUUUGUUCCCUGUUUCUUCUCUAUCCUGAGCCUGACACACUAUUCUAGCUAGACAUGGGUGUGGCUCGUAACACCUGAUGACUAAAUGGAUCGACGGCACCAUCGAAUCUCAAACUUUAACUGCCAAAACUAUUGUUUUUCAUCCUGUAGUCCCAUUUAGAAUUAGUAAACGUCCUUUUUUGGGCCGAGAUUUAGAGGAACGCUUUCUCGGGGUUUGUGUGCAAGUAUUUCAAACCAUACGGACCUAAAAAUUAGAAGUCAUUCCAUCUUUAUUCCCCUAGUCAUCAGGUAUACACUCAAGUCGGAGCACGUUAUCAUUCUUGUUAGUUCUGAGUGAAUUCCCUCGGUAUGAUAAUUCUUUCAUAAAUUUGUUCCCCGUUUCUUAUAUGGCCUGAGCCUGACACACUAUUCUAGCUAGACAUGGGUGUGGCUCGUAACACCUGAUGACCAAACGGAUCUACGGCACCAUCAAAUCUCAAACUUUAACUGCCAAAACUAUUCUUUUUCAUUCUGUAGUCCCUUCUAGAAUUACUAAACGUCCUUUUUUGGGCCGAGAUUUCCAGGAACGCUUUCUCGGGGUUUGUGUGCAUGUAUUUCAAACCAUACAGACCUAAAAAUUAUAAGUCAUUCCAUCUUUAUUCCCGUAGAGCCUUCCAGUAGUUCCUAAACCGCUCCAGUCGGAGCAUGUUAUCAUUCUUGUUAGUUCUAAGUGAAUUCCCUCGGUAUGAUAAUUCUUUCAUCAGUUUGUUCCCCGUUUCUUCUCUAGCCUGAGCCUGGCACACUAGUCUAGCUAGACAUGGGUGUGGCUCGUAACACCCGAUGACUAAAUGGAUCGACGGCACCAUCGAAUCUCAAACUUUAACUGCCAAAACUAUUGUUUUUCAUCCUGUAGUCCCAUUUAGAAUUACUAAACGUCCUUUUUUGGGCCGAGAUUUAGAGGAACGCUUUCUCGUGGUUUGUGUGCAAGAAUUUCAAACCAUACGGACCUAAAAAUUAGAAGUCAUUCCAUCUUUAUUCCCCUAGAGCCUUCCAGUAGUUCCUAAACCGCUCUAGUCGGAGCACGUUAUCAUUCUUGUUAGUUCUGAGAGAAUUCCCUCGGUAUGAUAAUUCUUUUAUCAGUUUGUUCCCCGUUUCUUCUCUAGCCUGAGCCCGACACACUAUUCUAGCUAGACAUGGGUGUGGCUCGUAACACCUGAUGACCAAACGGAUCUACGGCACCAUCGAAUCUCAAACUUUAACUGCCAAAACUAUUGUUUUUCAUCCUGUAGUCCCUUUUAGAAUUACUAAAUGUCCUUUUUUGGGCCGAGAUUUCCAGGAACGCUUUCUCAGGGUUUGUGUGCAAGUAAUUCAAACCAUACGGACCUAAAAAUUAGAAGUCAUUCCAUCUUUAUUCCCCUAGAGCCUUCCAGCAGUUCCUAAACCGCUCAAGUCAGUGCACGUUAUCAUUCUUGUUAGUUCUAAGUGAAUUCCCUCGGUAUGAUAAUUUGUUCAUCAGUUUGUUCCCCGUUUCUUCUCUAGCCUGAGCCUGACACACUAUUCUAGCUAGACAUGGGUGUGGCUCGUAACACCUGAUGACCAAACGGAUCUACGACACCAUCGAAUCUCAAACUUUAACUACCAAAACUAUUGUUUUUCAUCCUCUAGUCCCUUUUAGAAUUACUAAACGUCCUUUUUUGGGCCGAGAUUUCCAGGAACGCUUUCUCGGGGUUUGUGUGCAUGUAUUUCAAACCAUACAGACCUAAAAAUUAGAAGUCAUUCCAUCUUUAUUCCCGUAGAGCCUUCCAGCAGUUCCUAAACCGCUCCAGUCGGAGCAUGUUAUCAUUCUUGUUUGUUCUGAGUGAAUUCCCUCGGUAUGAUAAUUCUAUCAUCAGUUUGUUCCCCGUUUCUUCUCUAGCCUGAGCCUGGCAAACUAUUCUAGCUAGACAUGGGUGUGGCUCGUAACACCUGAUGACCAAACGGAUCUACGACACCAUCGAAUCUCAAACUUUAACUACCAAAACUAUUGUUUUUCAUUCUAUAGUCCCUUCUAGAAUUUCUAAACGUCCUUUUUUGGGCCGAGAUUUCCAGGAAUGCUUUCUCGGGGUUUGUGUGCAAGUAUUUCAAAUCAUACGGACCUAAAAAUUAGAAGUCAUUCCAUCUUUAUUCCCCUAGAGCCUUCCAGUAGUUCCUAAACCGCUCCAGUCGGAGCACGUUAUCAUUCUUGUUAGUUCAUAGUGAAUUCCCUCGGUAUGAUAAUUCUUUCAUCAGUUUGUUCCCCGUUUCUUCUCUAGCCUGAGCCUGGCACAGUAUUCUAGCUAGACAUGGGUGUGGUCGUAACACCUGAUGACUAAAUGGAUCGACGGCACCAUCGAAUCUCAAACUUUAACUGCCAAAACUAUUGUUUUUCAUCCUGUAAUCCCAUUUAGAAUUACUAAACGUCCUUUUUUGGGCCGAGAUUUAGAGGAACGCUUUGUUGGGGUUUGUGUGCAAGUAUUUCAAACCAUACGGACCUAAAAAUUAGAACUCAUUCCAUAUUUAUUCCCCUUGAGCCUUCCAGCAGUUCCUAAACCGCUCUAGUCGGAGCACGUUAUCAUUCUUGUUAGUUCUAAGAGAAUUCCCUCGGUAUGAUAAUUCUUUUAUCAGUUUGUUCCCCGUUUCUUCUCUAGACUGGGCCCGACACACUAUUCUAGCUAGACAUGGGUGUGGCUCGUAACACCUGAUGACCAAACGGAUCUACGGCACCAUCGAAUCUCAAACUUCAACUGCCAAAACUAUUGUUUUUCAUCCUGUAGUCCCUUUUAGAAUUACUAAACGUCCUUUUUUGGGCCGAGAUUUCCAGGAACGCUUUCUCGGGGUUUGUGUGCAAGUAUUUCAAACCAUACGGACCUAAAAAUUAGAAGUCAUUCCAUCUUUAUUCCCGUAGAGCCAUCCAGCAGUUCCUAAACCGCUCCAGUCGGAGCACGUUAUCAUUCUUGUUAGUUCUGAGUGAAUUCCCUCGGUAUGAUAAUUCUUUCAUCAGUUUGUUCCCCGUUUCUUCUCUAGCCUGAGCCUGACAAACUAUUAUAGCUAGACAUGGGUGUGGCUCGUAACACCUGAUGACCAAACGGAUCUAUGGCACCAUCGAAUCUCAAACUUUAACUGCCAAAACUAUUGUUUUUCAUCCUGUAGUCCCUUUUAGAAUUACUAAACGCCCUUCUUUGGGACGAGAUUUCCAGGAACGCUUUCUCGGGGUUUGUGUGAAAGUAAUUCAAACCAUACGGACCUAAAAAUUAGAAGUCAUUCCAUCUUUAUUCCCGUGGAGCCUUCCAGUAGUUCCUAAACCGCUCCAGUCGGAGCACGUUAUCAUUCUUGUUAGUUCUGAGUGAAUUCCCUCGGUAUGAUAAUUCUUUCAUCAGUUUGUUCCCUGUUUCUUCUCUAGCCUGAGCCUGGCACACUAUUCUAGCUAGACAUGGGUGUGGCUCGUAACACCUGAUGACUAAACUGAUCAAUGACACCAUCGAAUCUCAAACUUUAACUGCCAAAACUAUUGUUUUUCAUCCUGUAGUCCCAUUUAGAAUUACUAAACGUCCUUUUUUGGGCCGAGAUUUCCAGGAACGCUUACUCGGGGUUUGUGUGCAAGUAUUUCAAACCAUACUGACCUAAAAAUUAGAAGUCAAUCCAUCUUUAUUCCCCUAGAGCCUUCCAGCAGUUCCUAAACCGCUCCAGUCGGAGCACGUUAUCAUUCUUGUUAGUUCUGAGUGAAUUCCCUCGGUAUGAUAAUUCUUUCAUCAGUUUGUUCCUUGUUUCUUCUCUAGCCUGAACCUGACACACUAUUCUAGCUAGACAUGGGUGUGGCUCGUAACACCUGAUGACCAAACGGAUCUACGGCACCAUCGAAUCUCAAACUUUAACUGCCAAAACUAUUAUUUUUAAUCCUCUAGUCCCAUUUAGAAUUACUAAACGUCCUUUUUUGGGCCGAGAUUUAGAGGAACGCUUUCAUGCGGUUUGUGUGCAAGUAUUUCAAACCAUACGGACCUAAAAAUUAGAAGUCAUUCCAUCUUUAUUCCCCUAGAGCCUUCCAGCAGUUCCUAAACCGCUCCAGUCGGAGCAUGUUAUCAUUCUUGUUAGUUCUGAGUGAAUUCCCUCGGUAUGAUAAUUCUUUCAUCAGUUUGUGGCCCGUUUCUUCUCUAGCCUGAGCCUGACACACUAUUCUAGCUAGACGUGGGUGUGGCUCGUAACACCUGAUGACCAAACGGAUCUACGGCACCAUCGAAUCUCAAACUUUAAGUGCCAAAACUAUUAUUUUUAAUCCUGUAGUCCCAUUUAGAAUUACAAAAAUGUCCUUUUUUGGGCUGAGAUUUCCAGGAACGCUUUCGUGCGGUUUGUGUGCAAGUAUUUCAAACCAUACAGACCAAAAAAUUAGAAGUCAUUCCAUCUUUAUUCCCUU
rnacentral:lncRNA from 1 species